rnacentral:rRNA from 1 species
AUGAAUAAUAAACCUUUAUCGUUAUUAAGGAAAUAUAAUAAUAACCAUUUUAUUAUUGCCUCUAGGGCAUAUUUCCAUCAAUCUUUGCUUCAGAACAAAACCCUGCAAUCAAAUAGAUUGUCCCAAGGGCGCCAUAUUCUAGGAGCUGAAGUCAUGCUAUUGAAAAUUUGUUUUUCUAGCAGUUCCGGUUUGAGCAGUAUGUUCCCUUUUUAAAACUCCACUUCUUUUAAUAUAAAAUCCCUGAUCAAAUAGAGAACAAUAUCCAUUGCAUUUCAUAGCCACUUUUCAUCCCAGAAAUGUAUCUCUAAGCCAUCCUAUAUAAGGAAUGAUCCGGAGCAAAAAAUAUAUUUCCUUACCGCCACCAGUCCAACCCAGAAGUGUGAGUCAUCGGGCUUCCAAUAUUCCCAGGACAUCGCCUUUUGGCCUAGAUACUUAUUUAGUAGAAAAGUUUGCCAAACACCAUCUUCGGUAAGUAGCUUGAAGAACCAUUUACUAAGUAAAUCAGAUUCUUGGCCUGGAGGUCUUGGACACCUAAACCUCCCUGGUCUUUCGAUCGACAAAGAAUCUGGAUCUAAAGUAAUCCAGUCUUUGUAG